ACGAAGAUGAAAAUAUCUCCCUCGUCAGCCCCUCUCACGUCAUCCUCGAUUCCUUCCACUCCCUCGCGACCCCCGCCGCCGCCUCCUCUCCCGCUGCCGCCGCGCCAGGGCCUCGCCUCGCCCUCACUGGCCACCAGCGACCUCCAACCCUUGUUCUCCGCCUCGUCGCCAUAGCCACCUUGAGCUCGAGCAGAGGAGCGGCUCGGCAGGACAAGGGGGCAAUAGCCAGCCGCGUCUCGUCCGUGUCGCGUGGUGGCCCAGAUGCGGUCGUCCCGUGCUCUGCCUCCACGAGCGCGGCCUCGAUCCAGACUCGGCAGAAGGAGGGGAGCAGCAGCCGGCCAUGCUGUGUUGGCCGUGGAGGAGGAAGGAGCUCAUGUGGCUAGGGUUUGGCUACCCUCGUCAUCCAUCUCCUCGAUCUCUCUCUGCCUGGCCGUGGUCUGAAGGAGGAAGAAGGGACGCAGCAAAAUCGAGCGAUGCGGGCUGCAAUAGCCUAAAUAGGUGGCGGUCGAGACCACGGGAGCGGGAGCGACGGCCAUCUGCCCCCGCCCCACUCUCUUUACCUCUUCUAUGGAGAUGCUUUGCUGGGGACAUAUGAUUUCAUCCCAUUCUGUACUAUCCAUCAGGCCUCGGAUCCACGGCUUCUCCAUCUUCCUCCUCCAGCCCCUUUCUCCAUGUCGGCCAUCCAAGAUAGAGACGGCUUGGAUGACAAGGGCCAAGCAUCAGCAUGGAUGACAGCCUCCAAGAUUUAAGUGGUCAAGUAUGAAUGACGAUGCAGCCUGCAGAGUCAGGGUACCGACACCCAAAUAAAUUCAGGCCAGUCCUCGAUGUGAAGAAGCUAAGGGAGGCGGAUCCCGACCCUUAUGACAGCCAAAAUUAGGCCGCCACUCGUCUCUCUCCCGCACCUGCUCUUCAGAUGGCCAACAACACUUCGCGAGCAAUGACUGCUGUCCAGUUAAGAGCAAGAAAGAUCUUGCUGUUACUUGUCUUUUCAACAGUUCUUCUGUGUGGAAGGCACUUUGCUCACACUCAAAUACUACCUCUGAAACAUGGAAGAAGGAAAAGGUUACUCUUCUGAUCUUGAGAAUACAGUUUCAGAGAAGCUAGCAGAUGCAGAAGAAUCUCUGAAGAAGUUGAAGCAGGUUCUCUUCAAUUUGCUGUUGUGCUAGGCAUGAACAGAAUGGCUUCCUCUUCUUAUGAACCACACUGAUGUUGGCUUCCGGUUUCUGCUGCAAUGGUUUUUUUUACUAUGGACAUCGUUUCUUGAGGCUAUGUCUCUGCUAUAGGUCUCUGCAUUUCGGGGGACUAAGUCCGACGACGGGAGAUU